rnacentral:rRNA from 1 species
CCCUACGGGGGGCAGCAGUGAGGAAUAUUGGUCAAUGGUCGGGAGACUGAACCAGCCAAGCCGCGUGAGGGAUGAAGGUACAGAGUAUCGUAAACCUCUUUUGUCAGGGAACAAAGGCGGGGACGUGUCCCCGGAUGAGUGUACCUGAAGAAAAAGCAUCGGCUAACUCCGUGCCAGCAGCCGCGGUAAUACGGAGGAUGCGAGCGUUAUCCGGAUUUAUUGGGUUUAAAGGGUGCGCAGGCGGGCUGUUAAGUCAGCGGUCAAAACCCGGGGCUCAACCCCGGCCCGCCGUUGAAACUGGCAGG